AGGGCGCACGGUGGAUGCCUUGGCACUAGGAGCCGACGAAGGACGUGACAAACGACGAUAUGCCUUGGGUAGCUGUAAGUAAGCGAUGAUCCAGGGAUUUCCGAAUGGGGGAACCCAACAGGUAGUACCUGUUACCCACAUCUGUUAAGGAUGUGAGGAGGAAGACGCAGUGAACUGAAACAUCUAAGUAGCUGCAGGAAGAGAAAGCAAAAGCGAUUGCCUUAGUAGCGGCGAGCGAAACGGCAGGAGGGCAAACCGAAGAGUUUACUCUUCGGGGUUGUAGGACUGCAAUGUGGACUCAAAGAUUAUAGAAGAAUGAUUUGGGAAGAUCAGCCAAAGAGAGUAAUAGCCUCGUAUUUAAAAUAGUCUUUGUACUUAGCAGUAUCCUGAGUACGGCGGGACACGUGAAAUCCCGUCGGAAUCUGGGAGGACCAUCUCCCAACCCUAAAUACUCCCUAGUGACCGAUAGUGAACCAGUACCGUGAGGGAAAGGUGAAAAGCACCCCGGGAGGGGAGUGAAAUAGAACCUGAAACCGUGUGCCUACAACAAGUUCGAGCCCGUUAAUGGGUGAGAGCGUGCCUUUUGUAGAAUGAACCGGCGAGUUACGUUAUGAUGCGAGGUUAAGUUGAAGAGACGGAGCCGUAGGGAAACCGAGUCUGAAUAGGGCGCCUUAGUAUCAUGACGUAGACCCGAAACCAUGUGACCUACCCAUGAGCAGGUUGAAGGUGCGGUAAGACGCACUGGAGGACCGAACCAGGGCACGUUGAAAAGUGCUUGGAUGACUUGUGGGUAGCGGAGAAAUUCCAAACGAACUUGGAGAUAGCUGGUUCUCUCCGAAAUAGCUUUAGGGCUAGCGUCGACAUUAGAGAUUCUUGGAGGUAGAGCACUGUUUGGGUGAGGGGUCCAUCCCGGAUUACCAAUCUCAGAUAAACUCCGAAUGCCAAUGAAUUAUGGUCGGCAGUCAGACUGCGAGUGCUAAGAUCCGUAGUCGAAAGGGAAACAGCCCAGACCACCAGCUAAGGUCCCAAAAUAAUUGUUAAGUGGAAAAGGAUGUGGGGUUGCACAGACAACUAGGAUGUUAGCUUAGAAGCAGCUAUUCAUUCAAAGAGUGCGUAAUAGCUCACUAGUCGAGUGACCCUGCGCCGAAAAUGUACCGGGGCUAAAACAAUUUACCGAAGCUGUGGAUACCUUAUAGGUAUGGUAGGAGAGCGUUCUAUGUGUGAUGAAGGUAUACCGUGAGGAGUGCUGGAACGCAUAGAAGUGAGAAUGCCGGUAUGAGUAGCGAAAGACAGGUGAGAAUCCUGUCCACCGUAAGACUAAGGUUUCCAGGGGAAGGCUCGUCCGCCCUGGGUUAGUCGGGACCUAAGGAGAGACCGAAAGGUGUAUCCGAUGGACAACAGGUUGAUAUUCCUGUACUAGAGUAUGUAGUGAUGGAGGGACGCAGUAGGCUAACUAAAGCAGACGAUUGGAAGAGUCUGUCUAAGCAGUGAGGUGUGAAUUGAGUCAAAUGCUUAAUUCUAUAACAUUGAGCUGUGAUGGGGAGCGAAGUUUAGUAGCGAAGUUAGUGACGUCACACUGCCAAGAAAAGCUUCUAGCGUUUAAACAUACUCUACCCGUACCGCAAACCGACACAGGUAGUCGAGGCGAGUAGCCUCAGGUGAGCGAGAGAACUCUCGUUAAGGAACUCGGCAAAAUGACCCCGUAACUUCGGGAGAAGGGGUGCUGACUUUAAGUCAGCCGCAGUGAAUAGGCCCAAGCAACUGUUUAUCAAAAACACAGCUCUCUGCUAAAUCGUAAGAUGAUGUAUAGGGGGUGACGCCUGCCCGGUGCUGGAAGGUUAAGAGGAGUGCUUAGCGUAAGCGAAGGUAUGAAUUGAAGCCCCAGUAAACGGCGGCCGUAACUAUAACGGUCCUAAGGUAGCGAAAUUCCUUGUCGGGUAAGUUCCGACCCGCACGAAAGGCGUAAUGAUUUGGGCACUGUCUCAACGAGAGACUCGGUGAAAUUUUAGUACCUGUGAAGAUGCAGGUUACCCGCGACAGGACGGAAAGACCCCAUGGAGCUUUACUGCAGUUUGAUAUUGAGUGUCUGUACCACAUGUACAGGAUAGGUAGGAGUCUAAGAGAUCGGGACGCCAGUUUCGAAGGAGACGCUGUUGGGAUACUACCCUUGUGUUAUGGCCACUCUAACCCAGAUAGGUGAUCCCUAUCGGAGACAGUGUCUGACGGGCAGUUUGACUGGGGCGGUCGCCUCCUAAAAGGUAACGGAGGCGCCCAAAGGUUCCCUCAGAAUGGUUGGAAAUCAUUCGCAGAGUGUAAAGGUAUAAGGGAGCUUGACUGCGAGAGCUACAACUCGAGCAGGGACGAAAGUCGGGCUUAGUAGCGGUUCGAUCCCGUUAACUCCCAAAGGUCCCGUAGUGUAGCGGUUAUCACGUCGCCCUGUCACGGCGAAGAUCGCGGGUUCGAUUCCCGUCGGGACCGUUUAAGGUAACGCAAGUUAUUUUAGACUCGUUAGCUCAGUUGGUAGAGCAAUUGACUUUUAAUCAAUGGGUCACUGGUUCGAGCCCAGUACGGGUCAUAUAUGCGGGUUUGGCGGAAUUGGCAGACGCACCAGAUUUAGGAUCUGGCGCUUAACGGCGUGGGGGUUCAAGUCCCUUAACCCGCAUUAAGAUAUAACAAAUGAGCCGGCUUAGCUCAGUUGGUAGAGCAUCUGAUUUGU
rnacentral:rRNA from 1 species